rnacentral:rRNA from 1 species
UAAUCCGACCUAGGCUCAUCUGAUAGCGCAAGGCCCGAAGGUCCCCUGCUUUCUCCCGUAGGACGUAUGCGGUAUUAGCGUCCGUUUCNAANCGUUNUCCCCCACUACCAGGCAGAUUCCUAGGCNUUACUCACCCGUCCGCCGCUCUCAAGAGAAGCAAGCUUCUCUCUACCGCUCGACUUGCAUGUGUUAGGCCUGCCGCCAGCGUUCAAUCUGAGCCAGGAUCAAACUCU